CGGACCCACAGCGACCCUGAAUUGGAUAAAGCUGUGUUCUCUGGAUUGGUGACCUGUUCUGGGUGUUUCCAGCCUUUCACCCAGUGAAUCGGACCCACAGAGACCCUGAAUUGGAUAAAGCUGUGUUCUCUGGAUUGGUGACCUGUUCUGGGUGUUUCCAGCUUUUCACCCAGUGAAUCGGACCCACAGCGACCCUGAAUUGGAUAAAGCUGUGUUCUCUGGAUUGGUGACCUGUUCUGGGUGUUUCCAGCCUUUCACCCAGUGAAUCGGACCCACAGAGACCCUGAAUUGGAUAAAGCUGUGUUCUCUGGAUUGGUGACCUGUUCUGGGUGUUUCCAGCCUUUCACCCAGUGAAUCGGACCCACAGCGACCCUGAAUUGGAUAAAACUGUGUUCUCUGGAUUGGUGACCUGUUCUGGGUGUUUCCAGCCUUUCACCCAGUGAAUCGGACCCACAGCGACCCUGAAUUGGAUAAAACUGUGGUAAAACAGACUGUUAAUGAAUGAACUUUAAUAUACAUCAUUGUAGGGGCACGUUG